CAGGCAUUUUGGGGCGCUGCUCCCAUCCAAAUGCUUUGUUGUGGCGCUCCUCCUCUCAUUCUCUCCAUUUAAAUCUUUGAGCAGGAAAUCAAUGGCGCUUUCUCGCUGUGCAGGAGUGGACAUGUUCAGCGCGUGUGGGAUUUCUCAAGUUCAAAGCUGACAUCGUCGAUGAGAAGACUGAACGCAAGGUGAGCAAAAUGUUUCUUGCUGUAGUUUUGACGUGUUUACUCAUGCUUCUAUUAUUAUGUGUAUACUUUGGAGAUAAUGACUAACGUUGGCACCUGCAGCUUAUCUACACUUAGAUAGCAAUUGAUGUUUUUCAACUGAAAUAUGCAAUCGCUAGGAGUUUUAUACUUCUAUUUUUCAAUUACAUGAGUGCAGCAAGCAUGAGUACUGAGUAGGGCGGACUAUUGGGGAUAUGAUAGGCAAACAAUUUGCUAACACAGAACAUAUAUCUGAACAGUGAUAGCCUGAUUAGCUGAUAUCUUUUUUAGCAGGCUGAAGGUGGAGGAGGGCGUGGACGGGAUUUGGUCCCGGCAUUGCACUCGGAGAUGCUCUAAUAUUUAAGGAGUCCUUGUUUCUUAUAUUAUUAUUUUAUCACAUUGCCAUCAAAUUAAAAUGCUUGUUUGAGUAAAUAGCACAUAAUGUACUAGUAACUCUUUGCUACUACCAUUAUUGGCAAGUUUUUGUAAGUAAUCUUUCUAGUCAAGCACUUGUUUAUCAUCUAUAGUAAUCUUAAGUUUUGCCAUUUUUCUCUUCUGGAUUUUCUCAUCUUGUUUUCAUAGGCUUGCUGGCUGCGUCUUCUAUUUUACUUGGUACACUUGUUAGACCCCAAAGCGUUGAAAUCUUCAUUUUUUGUUAAUACAAUAUUUAAUGAGUACUACGUUACAGAAUCUAUUUUGUUAAUUUUUACCAUCAAUGCAAAGACAAACAUGUAUUUGCAUGCUAAUUUUGCUACUUUAUUAAAUUCAUGUCUGUUUUAGAAAGUACAGAUGCGCAUGAAAAAUUGUUGCAUUGUCUAAGGUCCAAUUCCAAACGAGUUGAAGCAGAAUUCAUUUUGUUAGUUUUAUGACACAGGCUAGUAAGUAUUUUGCAAUUCAUUUAGUUCCACUCUUUUUCAUCUUGUAGGUUUAGGUACUACAAGCAUGCCACUAGCUCGGGAGAGUGAGAGGGAAAGGAGGGCAUUCCUCGCGGAACAUAAAUGCAUAGGUUGUGUGUAUGCUAAGCUAAGGGGGGCAUUGAUUACAUGUACUUUAACCAUUAUACCUCUAGCUCUAGGUUAUGCAUGUUAUCUUGUCAGUUUUCAUCUCAUUAUGAUGCAACGUUGUUGUGUUUGUCAUUUAUAGGCAUCGGGAGGAGUUAGCCGCAAGACCUGAAGCACAAGAGAGAGCAUUUGAAGCGAUACAAAAGAAGCAUCAAGAAGAAUUGGAAGCUCUAAAGAAGAUCCAACAAGAGAAGAAUGAAGCCUGGCAAAGAAGCAAAAGGAGACGUAUAAUCUGCUUGAUUUUCUCUUGAGGGAUCAAGCAACUCUGUAGUCCCAAUCCAAACUAGAUGGUUCAUGAAAGCCAUCCUUACAUUGCAAUUGUCAGGACAACAUCUGUGGUCUUUACAACUAUUUUCAUCUUGUCUAUUGUCUGUCAAACUUGAGUCAGUUUUUUACCCUCAUUUUUGUUUACAGAAUGAUUUGGCUGAGACGAUUUCAUAUAUAAUACGAUUUGUCUUUCAUAUCAAUUUAUGAUGUGAUUUUUCUCUACAACUAUUUUAUAUAAUCUGAUGUGAU
rnacentral:lncRNA from 1 species